ACCGUACUCCUACGGGAGGCAGCAGUGGGGAAUAUUGGACAAUGGGCGGAAGCCUGAUCCAGCAACGCCGCGUGAGGGAUGACUGCCUUCGGGUUGUAAACCUCUUUCGGUGGGGACGAAGCGCAAGUGACGGUACCCACUAAAGAAGCACCGGCCAACUACGUGCCAGCAGCCGCGGUAAUACGUAGGGUGCGAGCGUUGUCCGGAAUUAUUGGGCGUAAAGGGCUCGUAGGCGGUUUGUCGCGUCGGGAGUGAAAACGCCGUGCUUAACACGGCGCUUGCUUUCGAUACGGGCAGACUAGAGGUAUUCAGGGGAGAACGGAAUUCCUGGUGUAGCGGUGAAAUGCGCAGAUAUCAGGAGGAACACCGGUGGCGAAGGCGGUUCUCUGGGAAUGACCUGACGCUGAGGAGCGAAAGUGUGGGGAGCGAACAGGAUUAGAUACCCGAGUAGUCCUUGAC
rnacentral:rRNA from 1 species